CGAUAGCGGAUAGUACCGUGAGGGAAUGGUGAAAAGUACCGCGGGAGCGGAGUGAAAUAGUACCUGAAACCGUGUGCCUACAAGCCGUGGGAGCGUCGCUGUAUGUGCUUGCACAUGCAGUCGUGACUGCGUGCCUUUUGAAGAAUGAGCCUGCGAGUUAGCGGUGUGUAGCGAGGUUAACCCGUGUGGGGAAGCCGUAGCGAAAGCGAGUCCGAAUA
rnacentral:ncRNA from 1 species